AGCGACACUAUGUGUUGUUGGGUAGGGGAGCGUUCUGUAAGCCUGCGAAGGUGUGCUGUGAGGCAUGCUGGAGGUAUCAGAAGUGCGAAUGCUGACAUAAGUAACGAUAAAGCGGGUGAAAAGCCCGCUCGCCGGAAGACCAAGGGUUCCUGUCCAACGUUAAUCGGGGCAGGGUGAGUCGACCCCUAAGGCGAGGCCGAAAGGCGUAGUCGAUGGGAAACAGGUUAAUAUUCCUGUACUUGGUGUUACUGCGAAGGGGGGACGGAGAAGGCUAUGUUAGCCGGGCGACGGUUGUCCCGGUUUAAGCAUGUAGGCUGGUUGUCCAGGCAAAUCCGGAUAAUCAAGGCUGAGGUGUGAUGACGAGGCACUACGGUGCUGAAGUAACAAAUGCCCUGCUUCCAGGAAAAGCCUCUAAGCAUCAGGUAACAUCAAAUCGUACCCCAAACCGACACAGGUGGUCAGGUAGAGAAUACCAAGGCGCUUGAGAGAACUCGGGUGAAGGAACUAGGCAAAAUGGUGCCGUAACUUCGGGAGAAGGCACGCUGGUGUGUAGGUGAAGUCCCUGCGGAUGGAGCUGAGACCAGUCGAAGAUACCAGCUGGCUGCAACUGUUUAUUAAAAACACAGCACUGUGCAAACACGAAAGUGGACGUAUACGGUGUGACGCCUGCCCGGUGCCGGAAGGUUAAUUGAUGGGGUUAUCCGUAAGGAGAAGCUCUUGAUCGAAGCCCCGGUAAACGGCGGCCGUAACUAUAACGGUCCUAAGGUAGCGAAAUUCCUUGUCGGGUAAGUUCCGACCUGCACGAAUGGCGUAAUGAUGGCCAGGCUGUCUCCACCCGAGACUCAGUGAAAUUGAACUCGCUGUGAAGAUGCAGUGUACCCGCGGCAAGACGGAAAGACCCCGUGAACCUUUACUAUAGCUUGACACUGAACAUUGAGCCUUGAUGUGUAGGAUAGGUGGGAGGCUUUGAAGCGUGGACGCCAGUCUGCGUGGAGCCAACCUUGAAAUACCACCCUUUAAUGUUUGAUGUUCUAACGUUGGCCCCUUACCGGGGUUGCGGACAGUGUCUGGUGGGUAGUUUGACUGGGGCGGUCUCCUCCCAAAGCGUAACGGAGGAGCACGAAGGUUAGCUAAUCCUGGUCGGACAUCAGGAGGUUAGUGCAAUGGCAUAAGCUAGCUUGACUGCGAGCGUGACGGCGCGAGCAGGUGCGAAAGCAGGUCAUAGUGAUCCGGUGGUUCUGAAUGGAAGGGCCAUCGCUCAACGGAUAAAAGGUACUCCGGGGAUAACAGGCUGAUACCGCCCAAGAGUUCAUAUCGACGGCGGUGUUUGGCACCUCGAUGUCGGCUCAUCACAUCCUGGGGCUGAAGUAGGUCCCAAGGGUAUGGCUGUUCGCCAUUUAAAGUGGUACGCGAGCUGGGUUUAGAACGUCGUGAGACAGUUCGGUCCCUAUCUGCCGUGGGCGCUGGAGAAUUGAGGGGGGCUGCUCCUAGUACGAGAGGACCGGAGUGGACGCAUCACUGGUGUUCGGGUUGUCAUGCCAAUGGCACUGCCCGGUAGCUAAAUGCGGAAGAGAUAAGUGCUGAAAGCAUCUAAGCACGAAACUUGCCCCGAGAUGAGUUCUCCCUGAGACUUUAAGUCUCCUGAAGGAACGUUAAAGACGAUGACGUUGAUAGGCCGGGUGUGUAAGCGCAGCGAUGCGUUGAGCUAACCGGUACUAAUGAACCGUGAGGCUUAACCUUACAACGCCGAAG
rnacentral:rRNA from 1 species